rnacentral:rRNA from 1 species
GGCUCAGGAUGAACGCUAGCGGCAGGCUUAACACAUGCAAGUCGUGGGGCAGCAUAAGGGUAGCAAUACUCUGGUGGCGACCGGCAAACGGGUGCGGAACACGUACGCAACCUUCCUCAAAGCGGGGGAUAGCCUCUCGAAAGAGAGAUUAAUACCCCAUAGUAUCUUGAAACUGCAUGGUUUUAAGAUUAAAGCUCCGGCACUUUGAGAUGGGCGUGCGGCUGAUUAGGUAGUUGGUAGGGUAACGGCCUACCAAGCCGACGAUCUGUAGCUGGUCUGAGAGGACGACCAGCCACACUGGGACUGAGACACGGCCCAGACUCCUACGGGAGGCAGCAGUGGGGAAUUUUGGACAAUGGGCGCAAGCCUGAUCCAGCAAUGCCGCGUGCAGGAAGAAGGCCUUCGGGUUGUAAACUGCUUUUGUACGGAACGAAAAGGUCUGGGUUAAUACCCUGGGCUCAUGACGGUACCGUAAGAAUAAGCACCGGCUAACUACGUG